GGCAACCUGGUCCGCACUGAUACGCGGACUGAAAAUCCGCGUGUCGGUGGUUCGAUUCCGCCCCUGGCCACCA
rnacentral:tRNA from 1 species